GGAGAGUUAUCGAAGUGGUCAUAACGAACUGCACUCGAAAUGCAGUUGUCCUGUUUUGGGGCACGUGGGUUCGAAUCCCACACUCUCCG
rnacentral:tRNA from 1 species